CAGUAGCCGCGGGAAUACGUAGGUGGCAAGCGUUGUUCGGAAUUAUUGGGCGUAAAGCGCGCGCAGGCGGAUAGGUCAGUCUGUCUUAAAAGUUCGGGGCUUAACCCCGUGAUGGGAUGGAAACUGCCAAUCUAGAGUAUCGGAGAGGAAAGUGGAAUUCCUAGUGUAGCGGUGAAAUGCGUAGAUAUCAGGAAGAACACCAGUGGCGAAGGCGACUUUCUGGACGAAAACUGACGCUGAGGCGCGAAAGCCAGGGGAGCGAACGGGAUUAGAUACCCGCGUAGUCCCUGUCUCUUAUACC
rnacentral:rRNA from 1 species